rnacentral:rRNA from 1 species
GAUGAACGCUGGCGGCGUGCCUAAGAUAUGCAAGUCGAGCGGUAAGGCUCUCACAGAUUAUUCGACAGAGCCAGGUCUUUGCGGUGAUUUUCCAAUUGGAAAAUCAUCCAAAAUCAUUUCCGAAGGAAAUGAAGGCCUGGCGGCAGACUUAAUUUAUUAAGUCGGUCGAGUAAUGUGUGAGAGUACACGAGCGGCGGACGGCUGAGUAACGCGUAGGAACAUGCCCUAUAGUGAGGAAUAAGCCCGGGAAACCGGGUCUAAUGCCGCAUAAUCUCUUCGGAGGAAAGCAGCAAUGCGCUAAAGGAGUGGCCUGCGUAUGAUUAGCUUGUUGGUGAGGUAAAGGCUCACCAAGGCGAUGAUCAUUAGCUGGUCUGAGAGGAUGAUCAGCCAGACUGGGACUGAGACACGGCCCAGACCCCUACGGGGGGCAGCAAUUAGGAAUAUUACGCAAUGGGGGAAACCCUGACGGAGCGACGCCGCGUGCAGGAGGAAGGCCUUCGGGUUGUAAACUGCUUUUCUCUGUGACGAUUAUGACGGUAGCAGAGGAAUAAGGGCCUGCUAACUACGUGCCAGCAGCCGCGGUCAUACGUAGGGCCCAAGCGUUAUCCGGAAUUACUGGGCGUAAAGAGUUGCGUAGGUGGCAUAGUAAGCAGAUAGUGAAAGCGUGCGGCUCAACCGCAUAUCCGCUAUCUGAACUGCUAAGCUUGAGCACGAGAGAGGUAACUGGAAUUCCCGGUGUAGGAGUGAAAUCCGUAGAUAUCGGGAGGAACACCGAUGGCGUAGGCAGGUUACUGGCUCGUUGCUGACACUAAGGCACGAAAGCGUGGGGAGCGAACGGGAUUAGAUACCCCGGUAGUCCACGCCGUAAACGAUGGAUGCUAGCUGUUAUCAGUAUCGACCCUGGUAGUAGCGAAGCUAACGCGUUAAGCAUCCCGCCUGUGGAGUACGGCCGCAAGGCUAAAACAUAAAGGAAUUGACGGGGACCCGCACAAGCGGUGGAGCGUGUUGUUUAAUUCGACGGUAAGCGAAGAACCUUACCAGGGUUUGACAUCCCGAUCGCCGUUUUCCGAAAGGAAAACUUCAUUUAGUUGGAUCGGUGACAGGUGAUGCAUGGCCGUCGUCAACUCGUGUCGUGAGAUGUAGGGUUAAGUCCCUCAACGAGCGCAACCCUUAUAGUCAGUUGAAUUUUUCUGGCUAGACUGCCCCGGUAACGGGGAGGAAGGAGGGGAUGAUGUCAGGUCAUUAUUUCCCUUACACCCUGGGCUACAAACACGCUACAAUGGCCGGUACAAAGGGCUGCCAAGCAGCAAUGCGGAGCAAAUCCCAUCAAAGCCGGUCCCAGUUCGGAUUGGGGGCUGAAAUUCGCCCCCAUGAAGCCGGAAUCGCUAGUAAUGGCAGGUCAGCACACUGCCGUGAAUACGUUCUCGGGUCUUGUACACACCGCCCGUCAAACCAUGAAAGUCGGGGGCACCCGAAGUGUCACAUUGGUGAUCCUAAGGUGAACUCGAUGAUUGGGGUU